UUGUUCGGGGACGCCAUGACUUUGGACAUGAUUCCUCGCGGCGUCCCAUUUGCUGCAAAUACACUUUACUUUGUGAGACAACUUCCACUGGUGUAGGGUCUUAUUUAACUCAUCAGGACGUGAGCCCACUUGGUUUGGUAUCAAAUUGGUGACCCAGACAGGACAUACCGCUUCAUGGUCCCCGUGCUGCCGGCUUGACGUUGCUGCCCCCUCAGGAGACCCAGCCGCCACACUAAGCGCUUUGCUCAGAGGAUCUCUCCAUGGAGUUAUGCUGAAAUUCAUUAAAGUAAUUCUACUAGAGAAUUUGGCAGAGCUAACAUCAGGCUUUAAUUUAUCAGGGAUGAAGAGGAAUUCGUUUAGUGACAAAUGGGAGGGAAGACAUAUCAAGAAGAAAUUCGCCUAAGAGAAGAUCUAGAGUCAAACGGAAUAUUGGGCUCUGGGGGAACUGAUAGAAGACCACACCGAUGGAAGGAGAAAGGGUUAGAGGAAUCGGCAGAUGACAGGCCAUUAUACACACACGUGAAUGUGUGUGUGGAGGGAUGGAUGUGUGUAUAUACAUUUAUGUAUAUUUAAAAAUAGGAAAAGGAAGCUACAGAAAGAUUUUAAGCACUAGCAUGAGAUGAUCACAUCGCAUUGUUAGCAGAUCUGCUUGCUAUUUGGGGAAUGGAUUAGGAGGGCUUAGAGCAAAUGUGAGGAAAUGAGAAAGCAAGCCAAAGCUGUGGUUGAUGGUCACUUAGCCUGAAGAGAAGUGGAUGGAUUUGAAUACAUUUAGAAAAUAAAAAUGGUAGACUUUGAUGAUGAUUGCAUAUAGGAGACAGAGGGAGGCCAGUGUCAAGGAUUUUGUUCAUAAAUCAAAUAAAGAAUGGAGUUUUUGUAAUAUAAUCUAGGGGAAAAAAGUUCCAUUGUAAAUUUUGCCUAACAUAAGGCAUAUUCUCACUUUGACAAAAAUACCAAAUCAAGUAAACCUCAAAAUGGAAAUUAGGAUGUGGUUCUCAGUCCCUAUAAUGUACCGUAGUUCCUGUUAGGAAAUGAUCUGGAUAUGUUGCUCAGUCAUGAAGUUGAAUACACUAGUUUUUGAAAAAUAAGAACUAUAGAAAAAAAUUCCAAUGGUAUACACAUACGUACACUUUCUUUAGAUUCUCUGCAAGCAAAUAAAAACUUUCCCAAUUUAUUGAGGUGGUUUUUCCACACAAAUAAAACAAACCAAAGAUAUAGAAACCAGUAGUAAAGAAUUCUUUUAUCGCACCUCUAACAAAAUUACAUAAAGGGAAUUCACAAUAUCCUCUUCCUUCAGGCGUGUGCCAUAUUAGUAUGUUUAUGCCUUAUUUAUUUUUGCAUCCCCAGUGCCCAAAAUAUUCCCGGCCCCAUAAGUGUGGAAUGUCAACUGGGGUCUGUGUGACUAUUCAAUAACUUGCCUAAGGUCAUGAGGCUGAUCAGAAAAAAAAAGAAAGAGAAAACCAGGCUUUUUGUCUCCUUUCUCUUAGUGUGAUAUUCUUUCUGCUGAUCUUAUGUCAUGUCUUUAACCCAAUUUGCCCUUCCCCUCCCUGUUCAGCCAACACCUACUGCCCUGGGCAGGUCCCUGGGACCUCCAGUUAUUCAGAAACUACUUCUGGGAAUGAUAGCCUGGUCCUGGUUUGCCUUAUUUCAAAUCAGUUCUUCAUCUCCUCAGAUCUUCAUUUAGCCUCAUCUAACUACUGCCUUAUUUAUACCACUAUGAAUGUGAAGACGAACGUUUUCCAGUUACCACAUCUUGAAAAGUUUAGUAUUUAUCUAUGCUGCCUUCCAGUAGGUGUUUGCUUCUUGCUACUCAGAUGACCCGUAGUCUGAUUCAGCCCAAUUUAUAAUUGACUUAUCACCGUCCUAGCCAAUGUCGUCCAUUGCCCCCCUCUUCCUACCUCACUUGGCCCCUUCCUCAGAAAUGGAAAAUCUAUGACCGUCCAGAACAUUUUAAAGCAGAACUUUAUAAUAAUGGUGACUAUUAGAUUAAGAAUCACCUGAAUAAGAGAAUGAGGAAAAUAAUUUCUUGUAGAGAUCUGAAGGACAACAUAUUUGGGUUAGAGUCUGUAGCAUGCCUCAUCAAAUUUAUGAAAUGUGCACUAUGCGAUAAUUCUCACUCUUUCAAUAAACUAUUUUAUUUUUUGUAGAAUGCCCUCCUCUUCUCUAAGAACCUUCUCACAACCCCAGCACUUAUUUUGAGACCUGUUUUUGUUUUUGGUUGCUAAUUAAUACCUGCUGAGAUCUUAACUGGUAAUUCAGAUAGAAAUUAAUGAUGCCUCAGAGUAUGACCAAUCCAGGAAAUAUUUGCAUUUUCAAAGGAAACAUAGAUUUUAAUGGAUUAAGUCAAGGCACUAGAUUUCUAGCCAAAUAGGUUGUGAUUUUUAGGCAGGGGGAAAUUUUCUCUUUUAUCCAUAGAUUUUAUUUGCACAUUUUAGGCUUAAACUAGAAGGGUGAAUGUUGUGGUUGUUAGAGAUGGAAUAGGGCAGUGUCAGACUUCUUUAAGGAUACCUCCAUAGGUUAUAUAGAAAAGUUUGCAGCAAGAGACUAAAAUUGGUACCUAGAAAGAGAAAAUCUCUGAAAUAUUGUCAAUAACUGUUGUGUGAUUUAUUUCAUUUAUGAGAGUUUCCUUUGGGGGAAAAGUAAAUCCAUAAAUAAGAACUUGGAGUGUAACAGUAGUUCUGUACUACUGGUUACAAUCUUUAAUAAAAAUAUUCAGUUGCUGGAAAAUAGA